GGCGAAGAAGACGCCAGAGGAUGAAGGGAAAGAAAGGGGUAACCGAAGAGGAGGACAGUUCCCCGGGGAGGAGGGAAGGAUGACCAGAAGAAGGCCCUGGGAGGAGAGCCGGAGGCUUAGCGGAGAGCGCAAAACACCGGUACCUGCUGGCGCACUGCUAGCCUCAGAGGUGCCAGCACCUCCUCAGCCCCCGCGCCGUCCAUGCUGCUCCGGGAGGCGGCGGCGGGCAAGGAGAUCGGGGGGCAGGAGGCCGCGCUGAGGGACCGGCGGAGCAGGAGCGAGGGUCGGGCUAAGAGCCGGGGCGGCAGCAGCAGCAGCAGAGCGGCGCGAGCACCUCUAAGCAGCACUGGACGCGGAGAGGGCAUGAGCCUGCGGCCCUGGGCUGUCCAGAGAGGGUGGCGACGGAAGCGGCGCGCGCCGCCCGGCUCGGAGCAUGAUGAAAUCGCCGCGUAAACGACGCGGCGCGCGUGCUGCCGCACAUUCACCACCGCGUGACGCGGCGCCGGGUCGCCGCCGCAGAUUCGACACAAAACCCGGAAGGACCCCGCCGAAGGUUUUCUCCGGUUCGGGAGAGAGACGGAGUCCCGCUCUGUCACGCAGGCUGCCAGGCUGGCGUACAGUGGCGCAAUCUCAGCUCGCUGCAACCUCCACCUCCUGGGUUCAAGCGAUUUUCUUGCCUCUGCCUCCUGAGUAGCUGGGAUUACUGGCACACACCACCAUGCACAGUUCCUUGUUCAAAAUGCCAAGAACCUGGAUGACUCAUAGUCAAGACCCUCCACCAGUAACAUAUAUUGGCGAGCCAGCCAGGAGCUUGGAACCCUCGGUGGACAGUGCCUAAGCACAGAGGCAACCACAGGUUUCUAACAGGGCCACUCUCUGGUGAAACUGAAAGGUUUCUGUGUGAAAGUGCCUGACCACCACUGCCCAAUUCAGUUGCAGGAAUUUAGCCAAUUCAGAGGUCUUGUUCUCCAUAAUUUGGAAUUUUCCUUCGGAUUUGAUCAAGUUGGAUAGAGUUGGUCAAACCCAAUGGGAAAAAGAUGAAAACAACAAGAAACAGAAACAAACAGCAACAACAACAACAACAAAAACAGUUAAGUGAAACAAACAAACAAUCACACAAUUUAUGUGGUCACUGAGUGCUCUAAUAGUAAGGAGAAAUUAAGACCAGCUGGCUGUUAGUCUUAACUCUAGCCAAGACAAAACUCCAAUUCAGCUACUUACCUAGUAAUGAGUCUCAGGCUGAAGUCUGCUCUCUCCCAUCCUAGAAGCAGGAAAAAACUGAAACUCAUCUUCCCUGCUGGAAACGAGCUCAAACUCCAGAAAGGAGUUACCUGCCUUCCAUCAUCAUGGACGCAGGAAAAUUUGCCUUCCUUGUUGGAAGCAAGUAAAACUCCAAAAAAGGAGUUGCACAGCAAAAUAAACUUCAGAUCUCAACAAAUUUGGGGAGAUCAGGGAUUCUCUGGGGGUGGGGUGGCUCCCAGGCCUCAGCCAAUUGUCCUAUUGGUUUCAGCCAUAAAGACAGCUCAGGCUGCUACCACGCACUGAUAGGAGAUUUGUCAAAGAUCGAGGCAUCUUCACUCAGAAUCCCUCUGUGAUUACCAAUUGUGAACACAAAAUAUCUGAUAUGGGUCUCAGUCAAUUUAGAAAGUUUAUUUUGCCAAGGUUAAGGACACAUCCAUGACAUAGCCUCAGGAGGUUCUGUUGACGUGUGCAAGGUGGUUGGGGCACAGCUUGGUUUUACACAUUUUAGGGAGACAUGAGAUAUCAAUCAAUAUAUGUUAAGACAUAUAUCAGGUGGUCCAAAAAGGUGGGAUGACUGGAAACAGGGAGGGGGCUUCCAGGUGAUAGGUAGAUAAGAGAAAAACAGUUGCAUUCUUUUGAGUUUCUAAUAAGCCUUUCACUGAAUACACAAUUUACAGGACUAAUCACUUAAGCCUUAGCCUGGCUCAGUGAAACAACAGGGCAAAGGAAGCAAUCAGCUAUGCAUUUGUCUCACGUGAGCAGAGGGAUGACUUUGAGUUCUGUCUAGCUAUCUUGUUUAGGAAUAUAAUGAGAGGCAGGUUUGCGUGCAGUUUCCAGAUUGACUUUUCCCUUUGGCUUAGUGACUUUGAGGUCCCAAGAUUUAUUUUCCUUUAACAUUUACAAGGAGAAGUGAAGAAAUAAGUAAAUUAGAGAGCUAGAAGGAUGGAAGUUUACAGUUAGAGAGAGUGGGAUGUUGAAGGUAAUACUGGUUGCAUAUUUCUUAUCCAAAAUGCUUGGGACCAGAAGUGUUUCAGAUUUCAGAUGUUUUCAGAUUUUGGAAUAUUUGCAUUAUACAGGUUCAGCACCCCUAAUCUGAAAACGUGAAAUCCAAAAUUCUCCAAUGAUUGUUUCCUUUGAGCAUCACAAUGGUGCUCAAAAGGUUUUGGAUUUUAGAGCAUUUCAAAUUUCAGAUUUUCAGAUUAGGGAUAAUAAACCUAUAUCUCAGAAACGGUACAUUUCUGAAUAAUGACAAAUUGUCAUUAUUUGCCAUGAGAAUUGUCAUUAAUGUGGGUGGAGAUGGGGAUGAUUGUAGGUCAAGAGACUGAAGCAAUAGGGUAGGCUUGGGUGUUAGUACGGCCCUUCAUGGGAAUGUGUUGAUGUCAUCCAGGGUCACGGGAGGCUUCUGAGUGGGAAGGAAGCUGAGAGCCUAUGAUUACGGUCUUCACUGAUGAAGGCAGACAGUAGGAGGUUGGCAGAUGGUGGGCACUGACUAGACUGGAAGUGCCAAGAACUUCAGUGGAGCAAGGUUUUACCCAAGACACAGAGGUUGUGGUCUAGAGCAGCCCAGGGAUGAAGGAUCACCCAUUGGAGAGGACUGUGGGGAAAGCAGAGUCCUGGGAGAUGAACCAAGCAUCAGUUGAGGCUGGAACAGUUAAAAUGUAUACAUCAAAUUCUCUCCAAGGACACUGUACCCUUGGCUGAAAAUUCCCUCCUUAGUCUACUUCCCAUCCCAAAUUCUACCCAUCCACACUGUGGCAUCCUAGGUCUCUCUAGCAGCUGAACAGGCAGGCCUCUGUAACAACUGUUUCAGCGCUGACUGAGUGGUUAAGUUAAAUAUUAAAAGUUGAAAGAGCCAGUAACCUUAUACAAAGGCUGGAAUAGAACAAAAGCCCACCACAAGUUUUUGCCUAAGUCUUUCCUGUGCCUUGAACCAUGACAAGAGGAGGAAGGAAUUCUUAACCAGACCCAUUUAGGAUUAAGUAAGUUUUUAUUGGCUGGGUACGGUGGCUCACACCUAUAAUCUCAGCACUUUGGGAGGCUGAGGCAGGCAGAUCACCUGAGGUCAGGAGUUUGAGACCAGCCUCCUGGCCAACAUGGUGAAACUCUGUCUCUACUAAAAGUACCAAAAUGAGCCAAGCAUGGU
rnacentral:lncRNA from 1 species